AUGUGCCUGUACCAUGUUUACAUUUUUGUAACCUGAAGAAGUGCAGUCUCGUGCACGAAAGUCUUGUUUACCAUGUGUAAAUAAAUAAGUUGUUCCUACCGUUUAAUAUCACUCUUUGAUUUACUCACCACCGGCAACUUGACAUCGCCUAUUUUUUCUGCCUUCGUAUCUUCUAUGUAUAGAUAGGUAGAAAUCCAGCGAACCGGUAGAGAAGUAUGAAGGGAGUUGCUUCCAGAGCCAGCAAACGACUGCCGUCUUUCCCCCCACGCGGCCCUCCUUUCUAGCCUGAAAAGGCGAACCAGCAGAACCUUACGAUUCACAUACACCAGCGCCCCACAAACUGAAAAGAAACACGAGUCCAGGUUGUAUAACAUGAUUCUUCAUUCACUAUUGCACACUAUCAAUUAUUUUAAAAAGUAAUUUGUCCGCUCAUAAUACUGCUGAGGUAAGCCUUUGACGUCUGAUAUUGCUUAAUGCUUCAGGCUCGAUGCUGCAACUUUCACUAAACUGUAGGCUUGUCAACGUUGAAAAGUCCAUGUGUUUUUGACUCCUUAUUCAUUUCGCAAAAUAGGGCGAAGCAAUUGCCAAGGCUGUGAGCCUCAACCUUCCAGGCAUACGGCGAGCUUCUCUACAUGUAUGGUCACCUUUAUACCAAAUGCAAUAAUAGAUAUACGGUUUCCCACUCCCCCCCAAAAAUGAACAGAAUAUACUUAAGACAUUCUAAGCUACAAUGAAGAAAAUUACUAUUCUCGGCUAGCUAUGAUAACCAGUAAAAAUGAAUAUCUUACGCCUGCAUCAAUACAAUCUGACGGUUUCAAUGGCGGUCACAAGCAGAUGCAUGAAAGCCUACGGAAAUUACACAUAAAUGUUAAGUGCUACCAAGACAAAUACCAAAACAAAUCUAAACCGGAACCGUACCCAUCAACCGUACCCAUACCCAUCAAAAACCACAGAGCUAGCCGUUCUGCAGCCAGUUUACUCAUUUAUUUUGCGUUUUCGAUUAUUUUGUGCAGUAAAAAGUUGACUGUUACAAAAAGUACUUUUCCAAUAGAAAGCGUGAUCCCCUUAAGAACAGACUAGUGAGGUUUAUUGGCGCAACAAUGGAGUACACUAUCUGCGUGUCUCAAGGAGGGAAGAAUCUGUCACGCAUCGCCUCCGCCUCAAUGUCAGCCGCAGUCCUUCACUGCUGUUCAAAGUGGAUCAGCAAGCCACACCCUUAUGUUCUAUCUGGAACGUUGAGGCAGAUAUUCGUCACCUUCUUCUCGAAUGCCGCCGUUCCAAGUCCUUUCGCGACAAGUUCAAGUCUCGCCUGACCAGCCUCGGAUACUCCAUCUCUCUCUCGACACUAAUUGGCACGCGGAGCAGUGGUGUAACCGCGGUGCUUCUCCACUACCUUCCUGAUACCGGUCUCUUCAGCAGUCCGUGACAUCGCGUGUGUGACGGCACAACACUUAUGACCUCGGACCCCACAUCGCCUUACUCUUAACUGCCCCAAGAAUACACCCUAAGGAAUUACUUAAUGAGGAAGAACAAGACAACCCCCCCCCCCCCCCCGGGCUGACUUUUCCUGUGAAAAUAAAUAGAACCUCCACCCCCUUUGAGAACAGCGUAAUCAUCGCUACAUGCGGUAUAGACACAAGGAUGGCACCUCGAUGAAACUUUGUUGACUACAUGCUGCCUUUGAUGACCCCUGCAAAAAUAAAAUCAACAAAAUGCAGUGUAUCGCUAAACCAGUAAGAAUAAAGUGUACUUUCUGCUGCGUAUGAUAUUGUACACGUGAUGGUAUCACUACCACGUCGAGUAUGUUGGUUGGUAUUAUAAGCAAAAACUUUGCUUUAGUGGUUACUUUUCGCAUUCCAUCAUAACAUUAAAUAGGAAGGUAAUUAAUGUCGCGAAUAAUAUGAACUAUAUGGGGGGCGAACAGAAAUAGCUUCGGAAAGGCAAUGUCGAUACCCUCUUAAACCACUGAAGCUUGUAAGCCGGCAUGAUCUUGCACAGCUGCUGCAACGCUUUAGUCUCUAGAUCGCCGAUCCGUGGAAGGUCCGUCGCAAAAAUCAAAUGAAACCUAAUCGAAUCCGACCCGUGUUUUUUCUGCAGACACCAUGUGUGAGCUUUUCUGACAUACAUAUAUGAUAUGUCUGUGGUAUAUCUGAUCUCUCUGAUAUAUCUCGCUCGCGAAUAAUGUCUUGAAGCGUUUCGUGAAAUGGAGCUAAGGCUAAUUACGAUAGUUUUCGCACAGCUAGUGCUACUGGUGCAACGGUCGUGGUUGCAUUGCCAGAAUGUCAUCUGGCGGACCAUAGACAUACGUGUAUUAAUGCGAAUUAGGUGUCGUUACUUUGACCGUCGAAAGAGAAUGCACAAGGGAAAAAAAUAUGCUAUUCCACGGUACUGCGGCAGUAAGAACUCACCAACUAAAGAGCGUCUCCCACUAAGUUUCGAUGAACUCGAGAAGUUCGCAUGUUUAAACGUUUUGUUGUUGCUUAUUUCGUUUCCAGAGGCCUGGUGUUGGCCUGUGUAUUACUUCUUCUUGCAAUGGUUAUCCUCGUCAUCGCCGCAAGAACCUGGAUGCUCUUCAAGCAAGAUUCAGGAGACAUCCAUCAUCGAGUCCCAUCGAUGACGCCAAAUGUCAUACAUGGCACAUCCACUACAACGCAGGAUACGACGACGCCAAAACUCACAAGUAGCACAACCACCACAACAACUACAAGGCGUCCCCUGACGACGAAGAACUGACUAAACUGGCUGAAACCCGUCCCAUCACAGUCCUCUUCGUCGGUGACCACAGCUACAGUACGAUAUCGAAGGAACAAUUCCUGAUAUAUGCACAAAGCCAGCUUAACAUGG